rnacentral:tRNA from 1 species
GGGCGGAUAGCUCAGUUGGGAGAGCGCAGCCCUUACAAGGCUGAGGUCAGCGGUUCGAUCCCGCUUCCGCCUACCA